ensembl:lncRNA
CCUCGAGACAGUCGGAAGCCCAUCCAGGCUGCAUGUUCAGUAAAGGGGCGACCCGGCAUGUGCCUCACGGCCCUAACGACGUCCGGAUAAACAGGGAUACAGUCCGGAUACGUCCCAGAGGCAGGGAGGUGGCAACGUACGACCCGCUCCACCUAAUGGGAAGGAAAAUGAGAAAAGGAGCCGACACCAAGGCUGCCCCCACCUCAGCGAGAGGCGGCCCCAGUCACUGAGACCAGGAGGUCCUACCUGCCGGCUCCAGAAAUCCAGGUGUGAGCCCUUAGCAGAGACACCGAUUCCCGGAACACAGAGCCACGCCCUGUGGGUGUCGUAGAAGUGAAGUGACCUCUGCAGAGGACCGGGCCGCCUGGCUGGAAGAAGCGUCGUUUUCCUCCCACCUUCUCCAAGGAGUUGGACGGUGUCUCAAGCCCGAAGCAGCGGUCUGCGGGGUGCUGACAGGCUCACUCCGGCCCGUGGCCCCAGGACGGCACGAGCUCGGGGGGACACACUUCGAUGGCCAGGGAAGGUUUGAGAGAGGAAGCGGUGUGUGAUGAAGGUAAACGAACUAGCUGCAGAGGAGAGGAGGUGCUGUGCUCCCUCACCCGUCUCUGCUUCCCGCCUCACAGCUCCCUCUUGAAAGGACCUCUGCUCACACUGCGUCCAUCUGGACCAUCCACGCUAAGCGCUCCCCACCCCCAACCCACCAAGGCCCUUGGCUCAGUCAUGUAUGCAGCGUCCCUUUUCCAUACAAAGUAUGGUUCCCCCGGUCAGGGUGUGGACAUCUUGGGGACCAUUGUCCUGUCUCAUCCCCUGACUGCAGCAUGUGUGCUGAGCCAGGACAGGACCUGCUUGUGGACAAAACCAGGGAUGGGUUAUGGACCUGCCCCUCAGGGCCUAGAGUCCAAUAUAGUCAGUGACUUUAAAGUAAAGCCAAGUGCUAUGUGAUUGAGGUUCCUUGGCCGCAGGUCACCUGCCCCCUUUCAGAAGCUGCUGGAGUCCUCCUUCCUCCCUAGGGCCCAGCGUGGACAUGCCUCUAACCCCUCUGUGCAAAAUCCAUGCUUUCUCCUUGUGUGGCCUUGACACUGGGCUCAUAUUCCCAGUUCCUACCCCAUUCUGCGUGGUUCCCCGCACCUGCCUUGGUUGGUGAUAUUUUCCUGAGUCACCCUGGCAGCUAGAACCUUCCCCACCCAGUCAAACGCUCCUCACAGUGCCCCUGGGGUGCACCGGCACAUCAGACAGGUGUGUGAGCUCGAAGAGAGCAGGGAGGAGAGCGUAGGGGUGCUCCAGAGAAGCAGCAGGACGCGCAGGGAGAGGACCACUGGAGCUCACUGGGGACCUGGGCCAUGCCCACAGGGCCCACAGCCCUGUGGCUCGCCCUGGGCUGGGCCUGGGCCCCUGCAUCCGCCACAGUGGAGCUCGCGGCUGCGGGCCUGGAUGAGAUGGGUUUUCUCAGCUGGAACACGUCAGCCGGCAGCCUUUAAGAACAGACAGGUUUCUGCUGAACACCUGAAACU